rnacentral:rRNA from 1 species
CGCUUUGGGAGGAGCUCGCUUACUAUCAGCUUGUUGGUAGGGUAAUGGCCUACCAAGGCUAUGACGGUUAGGGGGUGUGAGAGCAUGACCCCCAGCAUUGGCACUGAAACACUGGCCAAACACCUACGGGUGGCUGCAGUCGAGAAUCUUCCACAAUGGGGGAAACCCUGAUGGAGCGAUGCUGCGUGCGGGAUGAAGGCCUUCGGGUUGUAAACCGCUUUUGUAGGGGACGAAAUUUUUGACGGUACCCUUUCGAAUAAGAGGUUGCUAACUCUGUGCCAGCAGCAGCGGUAAUACAGAGACCUCAAGCGUUAUCCGGAUUUACUGGGCGUAAAGCGUCUGUAGGGGGUUUAUUAAGUUCCAAGUAAAAUUUCAAGGCUCAACUUUGAAUUCGCUUGGAAAACUAAUAAACUGGAGUCUAGCAGAGGUGCAUGGAACUUGUGGUGUAGGAGUGAAAUCCGUUGAUAUCACAAGGAACACCAAAGGCGAAGGCAUUGCACUGGGCUAGCACUGACCCUGAGAGACGAAAGCGUGGGGAGCAAAACGGAUUAGAUACCCGUGUAGUCCACGCCCUAAACGAUGAAUGCUAAAUGUUCGGGGAUUCGACCCCCUGGGUGUUACAGCUAACGCGUUAAGCAUUCCGCCUGGGAAGUACGGCCGCAAGGCUAAAACUCAAAGGAAUAGACGGGGAUCCGCACAAGCGGUGGAGCGUCUGGUUUAAUUCGACAGUAAGCGUGGUACCUCACCAGGGUUUGACAUCCCUUGACAGCCUUGGAAACAAGGUUUCCUUCGGGCAAGGUGACAGGUGCUGCAUGGUCGUCGUCAGUUCGUGCCGUGAGGUGUUCCGUUAAGUCGGGAAACGAACGAAACCCCUAUUGCAUGUUACAAUUUCUCAUGCAAGACUGGCCGGAUAUACUGGGAGGAAGGUGGGGAUGACGUCAGAUCUGCAUGGUCCUUAUACCCUGGGCGACACAGGCGCUACAAUGGCAGAGACAAAGGGUUGCAAAACCGCAAGGUGAAGCUAAUCCCAAAAACUUUGUCUAAGUUCGGAUUGAAGGCUGCAAUUCGCCUUCAUGAAGCUGGAAUCGCUAGUAAUCGUGAAUCAGCCACGUCACGGUGAAUAUGUUCCCGGAUCUUGUACUCACCGCCCGUCACACCAAGAGAGUUGGUAGCUCCCGAAGCGUCCCGUUUAGCGGGGC